rnacentral:lncRNA from 1 species
CUUUUCAGUUAUUUUCUCUUGCACAGAUUCCACUACAUCUUAUUUUUAUAUUUAUUUUCUCCUGGCACAGCUGUCUCCCCAAGCUUUGUGUUCUAAUGACCUUCUUAGCAAGUACAUAUGCUGUGGUGUAUAUUUAGUUUUGAACCAGCUUAUGGCUCUUCUUAGGUGCAAUUCAGGGCAGGAAGCAAUUUGUUCCUGUUAACAGAGCUGUGUACACAUGCAUGCUCUGCCUGUGUUAGUUACACUUUGGUUGCCUGUUGAACUCUGUAUUCCAGUCACCUUGAAGUCUAAUUUAAAAAUUAAGUAAUUAAUGUGUAUAUUAAGCAUCUUUCUACCCUGAUCUAGACAAAUUACUUUUAAACUUCAAUCUAAACAAACUCUGAUCUCUUUGCUGCCCUUCCAACAUACAAUAAAUGUAUAUAUAGGCAGAAAGCAGGCUUAUUGAGAGGAAAGCAGGCUGGCCAUUUAAGGUGUAAAAUUCUUGAUCUGUCCUGUAACUCUGUGGUCACUUCUCUUCCUUUCUUCAGGCUUCAGCUGCCAUGCAGCCCCUGAGUCCUGCUGCUGUUUCCUGUGACAGACAGCCAGUGCAUGCACCAGUGAGUGCUGCUGCCAGCUGGGCUGCCCUGUGGGGCUCCUCUGGGGGCUGAGGCUCAGAGGCUGAUAUCAUCGUGCUGGAACCAGGCUUUGUGGCGACAUGCUUCUCCCUCCCUCUGGCAUCCAGCUCACCCUGGCCACAUGUGCAGCCCAGGCCACGACCUCGGCCUUGGCUGGGCUCUGAUGGCCCAUUUAACAGUCACAGGCUGGAGAGGGAGCUGCUGCUGUGCUAUUUUUAACCAGCUGGACAGUUAAAUAAUUCAGAGGCAGACACACACAGACUGGUCUGGGCUGUGCCUGGGAUCUGGGAGGGGAGAGGAGCAUUGUACCGACCCUGCUGGGCUUGCUUGACCUUAUCAAGCAUGGGUUCUCAGGCUCUUUAACACAAACACAAAACAAAACCCAAACUUUCAGAAGUGAAAUCCCUGCCUCGCUGACGUCAGUGGGACUCCUGGCUCUGGAUCACACUUAGCUGCAAGGCAAGAACUGUUCAGUAUUUCCCUGCUUUCUAAUGCUACAGAACUCUUUUUCCAUGACAAACUUAUGGUGAGUAGAGUCCACAAUGGGAAGUGUCAAAAUUUCUGGGGGAGAAAAGAAUUGCUUUUAAGAAAUCUCUUUUGAAACAGGAUGUAUAGCUACUCCCCCUGAUUUUGGACUAAGAAGAGAUCUACAGAAGAAUAUUUUCUCCCAUCUCUCCAGCCCAGUUCCCCACCAAGCUGUCCUGUGAAGUGCUCCACAGCUCAGUG